rnacentral:rRNA from 1 species
AUUGAACGCUGGCGGCAGGCCUAACACAUGCAAGUCGAACGAGUGGCGGACGGGUGAGUAAUGUCUGGGAAACUGCCCGAUGGAGGGGGAUAACUACUGGAAACGGUAGCUAAUACCGCAUACCAUCGGAUGUGCCCAGAUGGGAUUAGCUUGUAGGUGAGGUAACGGCUCACCUAGGCGACGAUCCCUAGCUGGUCUUAGAGGAUGACCAGCAAAACGGGAACUGAGACACGGGCAAGAUUCCUACGGGAGGCACAAGUGGGGAAGAUUGCAAAAUGGUCGCGUGCCUGAGGCAUCCAUGCCGCGGGUAUGAAGAAGGCAUUCGGGUUGUAAAGUACUUUCAGCGGGGAGGCGUUACCCUCAGAAGAAGCACCGGCUAACUCCGUGCCAGCAGCCGCGGUAAUAC